GGCUGAAAUUCGCCUUCAUGAAGCUGGAAUUGCUAGUAAUGGCAGGUCAGCAUACUGCCGUGAAUACGUUCCCGGGCCUUGUACACACCGCCCGUCACACCAUGAGAGUUGGCAAUACCCAACGUACGUGAUCUAACCCGCAAGGGAGGAAGCGUCCUAAGGUAGGGUCAGCGAUUGGGGUGAAGUCGUAACAAGGUAUC
rnacentral:rRNA from 1 species